rnacentral:rRNA from 1 species
GUGAGCGCUGGCGGUAGGCCUAACACAUGCAAGUCGAACGGCAGCACAGUAAGAGCUUGCUCUUACGGGUGGCGAGUGGCGGACGGGUGAGGAAUACAUCGGAAUCUACUUUUUCGUGGGGGAUAACGUAGGGAAACUUACGCUAAUACCGCAUACGACCUACGGGUGAAAGCAGGGGAUCUUCGGACCUUGCGCGAUUGAAUGAGCCGAUGUCGGAUUAGCUAGUUGGCGGGGUAAAGGCCCACCAAGGCGACGAUCCGUAGCUGGUCUGAGAGGAUGAUCAGCCACACUGGAACUGAGACACGGUCCAGACUCCUACGGGAGGCAGCAGUGGGGAAUAUUGGACAAUGGGCGCAAGCCUGAUCCAGCCAUACCGCGUGGGUGAAGAAGGCCUUCGGGUUGUAAAGCCCUUUUGUUGGGAAAGAAAAGCAGCAGGUUAAUACCCCGCUGUUCUGACGGUACCCAAAGAAUAAGCACCGGCUAACUUCGU